UUUCAGAACCCAAAUUCCUCUUUUCUUUUCUGAAAACCCCCUAAAAAAAAGAAAAAACAUUUUCCUCAUAAUUUUCUUUUCCGCUUCUUCGUAUUCUCGUAAACUCUUUUUCAAUCGAAAUGCAGAAGAAAAACCCUAAUUCUUCAUUGCUUACUGAUCAUCUUCGUUGGAUUUCUCCGCAUUAGACGACGACACAGAUAUUGCCCCAUCAACUUCAUCUUAUCCCUCUUUCAUAAAUCUCAGAAGAUUGUCGUUUUGGUGAUUUUGUUUUUGGUAUAUUGAUUUGUCAGAUUUCUAGGGUUUUGUUGUUUGUGAAGAAAUACUUGUAGGAAGUUGAGGAUUUUUAUUAGGGUUGUAUCGCCAUGGCUCCGGGGCGUAAAAGAGGAGCAAACAGAAACAAAGCGAAGAAUCAGUUAAGUUUAGGGGAUCUGGUUCUUGCUAAGGUUAAAGGUUUUCCUGCAUGGCCAGCAAAGAUAAGCCGACCUGAAGACUGGGAGCGUGGUCCAGAUCCUAGAAAAUACUUCGUUCAAUUCUUUGGAACUGCUGAAAUUGCAUUUGUAGCCCCUGCUGAUAUACAAGCCUUUACUAAUGAGACUAAGAAUAAAUUAUCAGCACGAUGCCAAAGUAAGACAGUUAAAGGUAAGGCCAUUAGUGAUUUUUCCCGUGCUGUAAACGAGAUCUGCAAAGCUUUUGAAGAUCUUCAGCAAAAGAAUUCAGAUGAAUGUAAAGGGGAAGAGGUUCCCUUGGUUGAGGGUGGGGAAGUUGACUUGAACGACCAGGUUGAGGUGGUUGAGCACAAGGAAGGUGUUUGUAAAGAGGACUUGGGCGAUGAAGUAUCUGUUUCUGAGGAAUAUCCACAUGAGGAGGGUGAGAGUGUCAGCAAGGAUGUAAAGCCUAUUGUUUCUUGUAAUGCAAAACAAGUCUCUCCAACUAUAUCUGGUAAGGGAAACAAUGCAUCUAAUGACGGGACACAUUUGCAGAAGCACGAUGCACACAAGACAGAUAAUGCUUCCCCAGUAGAAGAAGAAUCUGGUUGUAGAGGUGAGGAUGGUAAGGCGACUGGUGAUUCUCAACUCAAGAAGGUAGAGAGCAUUUCAGGAAAAUCGGAAGCCGGUAGUGACCAUGCUUCUCCUUCUGAUGCUGAUCCUUCUACUAGCUUGGAUGAUGAUAGUUCUCCUACUUUAGCUGUGGCAAUUGGAGCAAAGCGUGGCAGUACUGGACAGAAGGCAGUCACAAACGGUGACAGGAACAAGAAAGUGGUAGCUGUUCCAGGAAAGAAAGGACAGGGUAUGGUUGAACUCCAGAAUAAGAAGCAUUCAGCAGUUUCGUCUUCGGAAAAUGAUAACCUAAAUGGUGAUGUUGACGUAACUGAAUCUGGAGAACAUCUUAAAGAUGGAGGGAAAAGAAAAACUGCCCCAUGCAGUAGCAUGAAGGGAAAAUCUCCCAGCUCCGUGAAAUAUGAUCCAGAUAUCAGUAGUAGUCGGAAGAAAGACAAAAGCCUCAUAAAAGCUAAAAAGCAUGACAUGCCAGCUCGUAAAACGUCUGGUUCUCGUGAUGUUGACAAUGAAAAUAUAGUCAAGUCUAAGAAAGAGGGCAAAGAUGGACCUUUGUCUUCUGGAGAUCGCAGGGAAAAGAAUGCAAAGCCUAGAGAUAGAAAGCAUAGGUUGGAUACUGCUGAGGAUUUGCAUCCUGCCAAAAGACCAAAAAGCACCGAAGUAAACACUACCCCUGGUGCUAAAAAAUCCGUUGUGGAAAGAAGAAAGAAAGAUUCGUCGGGUGUCGUUGGCAACAAAGGAAUUCCACAGCAUACAGAUGUUAAAAAACCCUCAUCAGGUAAGAAAGCUGAAGAGCGUUCAAAAUCAAGAACUGAGAUGCGUAAUGUUGGAUCUACCUUGCCAAGCGAUGAGGAUGUUCUUCCUCUAUCAAAGCGACGCCGUCGGGCAGUAGAGGUUAUGUCUGACUGUGCUAAGCAAGCUGGUUUGGGUAAGAAGGAAAUGUCGAGAACCAAUAAUGUUAGGUCUCCUACCGUUCAAGUUCAUUCUAAACGGAGAGCACUUCUAACGUUGGAUGAUGAUGAAGACGAAGAUGAAAAAGUAUAUAAGAUUAAGAAGCCAACUCAUGUUGAAUCUACCAAACAAGUUGCUGGAGUUAAAGUUGAAAGUUCUGAUUUAGCCAGACCGACCAAUUUGUCUGAGGAUGGUAUAUUGCCUAUCAAGCCGUCAAAUGAGACUUCAUCACCAAGUCCAAGUGAAACUGAAGAGAAGAAGCUGAAAAAAGCCAAGGCUCUGCAUGUUACCCCUAGUCCUGGAAAAUUAGGAACUCAGAAAUCAGUUGUGAAGGAGGAGAGUAGCUGUCCUACUACCCCUAAAACCUCCUUAGGGUCUGUUGCCGAAGCUAAGGAACUAGAGCUUAGACCCAUCAAACCUCAAGUCAGACCAUGUGGAUCGUCCCAGGCAGGGUCAAAUAAAGGCUCAGCUCAGGCUUCUUAUAGUUUAAAGCGUUCUUCCAAUCAAGUGGUGUCCCAGAAACACAGGCCUACAUCUUCAUCUGAAACUUCAAGGAUUACCUCCAGCGUGCGAGUGAAAGUGGAAAGCACCACAGAUACUGAUGCUUUUCUUGAGAGAUUGGAAGCUGCAAAAGAGGAUAAAACAGCCAUUACAAUGUUAGAUUCCAAAUUUGAAGAUUCUGUUACGUCGAUGAAAAAUCUUAUUGCUGCAGCUCAAGCAAAAAGGAAACAGGCUCACUUGCAAUCCUUCUCACAUGAUAAUCUUCUUCCCUCUUUCAUAUCCUCCGGUUCUUUGCUUCAGGGGAGAAGCCCUGGUCCUGGUUUGGCAGUAGGCUCUAGCAUAAUAGUACAAACUGACGCAAAUGGAUAUUAUUCUCACUCAGCUAUAGGCUCUCCUCAUUCCCGUCCAUUCACAUCACAACAUCAACUGGCUCCUGAAGACGUGGAAGAGGGUGGAGUUAGUUCAGGAAACCGGGCACCUGUGGAGUCGUUAAGUGGUUGUACUGAGGUUGCUGUUGCUCGAGAUGCUUUCGAAGGAAUGAUUGAGACCUUGUCGAGGACAAAGGACAGUAUUGGACGUGCUACUCGCCAUGCCAUUGACUGCGCGAAGCAUGGAAUCGCUAGUGAGAUCGUGGAAAUUCUUAUUCAAAAGCUGGAGAACGAACCCAGUUUUCAUCGCAGAGUUGAUCUGUUUUUUCUGGUGGACUCUAUUACACAAAUUUCACAUAAUCAGAAAGGUAUUGCGGGCUCGUCUUAUAUUCCUUCAGUACAAGCAGCAUUGCCACGUCUACUAGGUGCUGCUGUUCCAGCUGGAGCUAAGGAGAAUCGCCGUCACUGUGUUAAGGUAUUGCGCUUAUGGCUUGAGCGAAAGAUCUUGCCUGAAUCUGUUCUUCGACGUUACAUGGAGGAUUUUGGAUUUCCUAAUGAUGACAUGAUAACUGGAAUUUCUCAUAGACGGCCGUCUCGAACAGAGCGUGCUAUAGAUGAUCCAAUUAGAGAAAUGGAGGGGAUGCUUGUUGAUGAGUAUGGGAGCAAUGCAACAUUUGAGUUGCCUGGGUUUCUAUCGUCUAGUGUAUUCGAGGAUGAAGACGAGUUUCCUAGCAGUAUGCUUAAAGAGUUGGGAGAUAAAAUAUCCUUGGAUGUUGCUGGGGUCACAGAAGGGCUAGAACAAGGUGCGGUUACUCCAAACGAUAGGCGGCAUCUCAUUUUGAAGGAUGUUGAUGGUGAGCUUGAAAUGGAAGAUGUUUCUGGUUCUCCUAAGAAUGAGAGAAAUACGGCUCGGAAUGGUUCGUCCAAUUUAGAAUCUAGACAGCUGAAUUCGGAUUGUACGUUGAAAGUAACAACAGAUUCUCCAAAUGAGAUUCCCCCGCUGCCAUUUGGCUCUCCACCGUUGCCUUUGGAUUCUCCACCGCCUCCACCGCCAUUACCACCUUCAUCACCGCCACCACCUCCUCCACCACCCUCACCUCCACCACAUCAUCUGUCAUCACAGCCACCUCUACCUUUCCAACCAGUUCCAGUUCCACCACAAACAUUACUGCCUCCACAAUCACUGCCGCCUCAACCUUCAUUUACAUAUCCACCUUCAGUUCCACCUCAAUCCACGAUGCCCCCUCCCCAACCAUCAAUGCCACCUCAACCAUCGUUCCCACCUCCACAUUCUUUGUCAUCUUGCUCACCACCAGUACCUUAUCAUCCUCCUCCACCUCAAGAAAAUUGGAGGCCUCCCAGUGGGAAUCAUGUUCAUCAAACGGCUGGAAUUACUCCUCACCCUGGCAAUGUUAGGAAUGUUGUAAGAAAUGAAAUGUUUCCCCAGCAGUCAUCAAACACUGUGCAACCUGGGUCAUGCCGUCCGCACGAUGAUUCUGGAUUCAGUUCAUCAAGGCCUUUUGAAUAUGGGCACAAUGACAUGUAUCCAGUUUCUCAAGCUUCCCAACCCAACCAACAAUUUCGUCCCCCUUCUACUCCGUACCCUCAUCGACCUUAUCCUCCUAUUCCCCCUGCACAAACACCACCCAAUCAUUUCUCGUACCCACAGCCCUCCGGUCAGCACCAAGAGCAGCAUAUUUAUCCCCGUCCAUACCCUUUGCCCCCUCUUCCCAAUGGUCAAAGACCGUAUGGUAUGGAUGAACAAAGAAGGAUACCUUCAGGUGAUUUUAAUACAGACAAUCAGCAUGGUAUGUGGGUAGGUGGAGGGAGGAAUCCCACAUGUCCUGGACCGCCUUUUGUACCUGAAGGGUAUUUUCGGCCACCGAUUGAUACACCACCUAAUAAUAUGGGGUACCAACAUCCUAUCCAUAAUCCUCGACCAUUUGGAGCUCCAAUGCCAGGUCAUGGUGCUACGCAGAUGCUUCCAUGUAGGCCAAACAUUUCCACCCAUAAUUCUUGGAGAUCAUCAUAAGAUUAAGGUGUACUACCCUUGUUUCAUAAUCCCAUUAUGUGGUUGUAGUUGUACCCAUUGAAGUGGGAAAUUCGUGUGCCACCGAAUGGCAGAAAGGGUCUUGGCAUCUGAGUGAGAAUGGCCAGCAAACACUAAAGAAAACAGUGUUACAUCUGGAGGAGGUGCUCGGGAGGAAUGUGUAUAUUGUAUUUUUUUUUCCUGACCGACAAACUGCUGCUACAGAUCGUCAUGGCAUCAGAAUACUGGUUGGUGAAAAAUCAUGUGUUCUCUUUGUUGCUAAUGGUGUGGUUGUGCAAAGCUUCUGCUGUGUGAACUGCUGGAAAUGCAAGAGGCCAAAUCUUUGGUUCUGGUGGUUAGUGUUACUAAGAAAAUCCACGCAGCUUGGAAGUUAUGAAAGAGUGGUUCCUAGCACUAUCUAACCCAUUUUAACAAAGAAGACUUCCCAGUUCUGGUCACAUGCAGAAUUAACUUCUCCAGAUGCCUGAGGUAAUCCUUAUAAUUUUUGGGUCCUUUAGGAUAGUAAACUUCUAACUUGCUUACUUAUUCCAGAUUUACUUUUAAGAUAAGCUUUCAAUACUGGUCUUAGGGUUAUACCAGCUGUGUCAUUUUUGUUUCUCAUAUACAACUUGUUCAUAGAUGAGAUAGUCUUCAAUUAUUCCGUUUAUCUUUUCCUGCUCGUAUAUGUUGUUAUCUAUAGCCUGAGGGAGAAUAAUGUUCAGUUUAGUUGGUAUUUUUCUGACUCUUGUUCGUGUUCAAUUUCGUACUGUUCUUAAUAUAUCGAUUCAGGACAUCUU